UUUUGAAGAAUGCUCAACAGGAUCUGGUGUCACUGUCUUGCUUCUGUUGAUUUUGGUUGCUAGGUAACGAACAGCUGUUUACAUUAUCAGCUGUUGCCGAUUUUUCUCCUCAAUAAUAACUGAACAGAAAUGUUCAGAAAAAGACAUCCGAACCUCCGUCUUGAUUGAAGAAGCUGUCACUCUGUAACAUACUGAGUGGAAUAAGUCCAUGUUAGUCAACAUGGUUGUAAUUCUCCUCAUAGCAAUCUAACAAACUCAUCCAGUCACAUAAGUUCAUUAACACAACAACAGGUGAGACCAUGAGAGUAUUCCCGUUGAAAAAGCCGUGAUGAAUUAAAAGUGGAUAAUGAUGUAAAAGA